rnacentral:rRNA from 1 species
GUGCCAGCAGCUGCGGUAAUACGUAGGGUGCGAGCGUUGUCCGGAAUUACUGGGCGUAAAGAGCUCGUAGGUGGUUUGUCGCGUUGUUCGUGAAAUCUCACGGCUUAACUGUGAGCGUGCGGGCGAUACGGGCAGACUAGAGUACUGCAGGGGAGACUGGAAUUCCUGGUGUAGCGGUGGAAUGCGCAGAUAUCAGGAGGAACACCGGUGGCGAAGGCGGGUCUCUGGGCAGUAACUGACGCUGAGGAGCGAAAGCGUGGGGAGCGAACAGGAUUAGAUACCCUGGUAGUCCGCGCCGUAAACGGUGGGUACUAGGUGUGGGUUUCCUUCCCUUGGGAUCCGUGCCGUAGCUAACGCAUUAAGUACCCCGCCU